UACGGGGGAUGCAAGCGUUAUCCGGAAUCACUGGGCGUAAAGCGUCUGUAGGUUGUUCAGUAAGUCUGCUGUUAAAUACUAGGGCUUAACCCUGGAAAAGCAGUGGAAACUACUAGACUUGAGUAUGUUAGGGGUAGAGGGAAUUCCCAGUGUAGCGGUGAAAUGCGUAGAUAUUGGGAAGAACACCAGUGGCGAAAGCGCUCUACUAGGCCAUUACUGACACUGAGAGACGAAAGCUAAGGGAGCAAAUAGG
rnacentral:rRNA from 1 species